rnacentral:rRNA from 1 species
GCCUGAUGCAGCAACGCCGCGUGAGGGACGACGGCCUUCGGGUUGUAAACCUCUUUUAGUAGGGAAGAAGCGAAAGUGACGGUACCUGCAGAAAAAGCACCGGCUAACUACGUGCCAGCAGCCGCGGUAAUACGUAGGGUGCAAGCGUUGUCCGGAAUUAUUGGGCGUAAAGAGCUCGUAGGCGGUCUGUCGCGUCUGCUGUGAAAACCCGAGGCUCAACCUCGGGCCUGCAGUGGGUACGGGCAGACUAGAGUGCGGUAGGGGAGAUUGGAAUUCCUGGUGUAGCGGUGGAAUGCGCAGAUAUCAGGAGGAACACCGAUGGCGAAGGCAGAUCUCUGGGCCGUAACUGACGCUGAGGAGCGAAAGCGUGGGGAGCGAACAGGAUUAGAUACCCUGGUAGUCCACGCCGUAAACGUUGGGCGCUAGAUGUGGGGACCAUUCCACGGUUUCCGUGUCGCAGCUAACGCAUUAAGCGCCCCGCCUGGGGAGUACGGCCGCAAGGCUAAAACUCAAAGGAAUUGACGGGGGCCCGCACAAGCGGCGGAGCAUGCGGAUUAAUUCGAUGCAACGCGAAGAACCUUACCAAGGCUUGACAUAUACGAGAACGCUCUAGAAAUAGAGAACUCUUUGGACACUC